CGGAUAUUCGAAAUUCCGG
rnacentral:snRNA from 1 species